UUUUUUCCUCUCUGCUUGGAAUAAAAUCUAAUCCCUUAAACAUCAGCGCACAUGUGUGCAUCGGCGGAGAGCACAGACUCCCAGCAGCCCGGCUGUUUAAAGAGAUUAGAUCCCAGGAACCAUGAAUGACUUUGUCUUGCUGCCAGUUUCUGAAGGGAUUCGUUGAUAUUUUUCUCGUCAGCACGUGACGGAGACAAAAAGAGGGAUAUUCCAAAGAGAGCGGCGCAGAGAAACAUGAAGACUGUGCAGAUGUCGUAAGGAGAUCCAGAGCUAGUGGUCACGCUUCACCUCCGAGUGCACAUGACCGUGUUUACUACAGCUGUGCCGUCAGUGAAUCAAACAUCUGCAGUGACUUCUUCACUACAUCUCCAUCCUCUCUUCAUCUCUCCUGUUGUUUUUUAUGACCUCUAUUCACUGAAUAUGUAAAUUUAGAAAAACAGUCCUGAACUCUGGAUUUAAAGUUUUUAGUUUGCUCUUCUCUGCCUCAAAUUUGCAGACAUGCCAUAAAAACUCAAAAUUAAACGACUUUCAUUGAUCAGUCAGGAUCUCUUUAGGAGGGCUGGUGCUUUUCUACUUUAGUCGGACAGUUUUGUGUCCCUUCACCGACUCACUCUGGGGGAUUCACGGAUUAGUGAACAAAGCAUGACCUGAGAAAUAGUCCGCAAACCCUUAUUUUUACUGUAAACACACUAACAGGACAGCCCAUAAAUGAGAUGACCUUUGACCUUUGACCUUACCGAGAGGGGUGGAAAUCAUCAUAUAAUAUGAUAAAAUACAAUUAGAUGAGAUACAAUACAAGAGAAUACACUACGCCAUUUAAUGCUAUUCAACAAUGCGAUAUGAAAUAAUACACGACAAACUGAUAUAAAACAACACAAUUAGGAUACGAUACAAAACAUAACAAUAUAAUAGGCUAGAUAUGAAACAAUGUGACAUGAUAUGAAACAACAUGAUACGAAAUUAUACGAAAUGUGACAAUAUGAUAUAUUGCGACAUGAUACGAAAUAAUCCAAUAUGAUACGAAGUUAUACAAAAUUAUACAAUAUCAUACGAAACGACACGAUAUGAAAUGAUACGAAAAAACAUGAUAGAAAAUGAUACAAUUCAGAUACGGUACAAAACAAUACAAUAUGAUAGCCUAGAUAUGAAACAAUGCAAUAUGAUACAAAACAAUAUGAAACGACAUUAUAUGAAAUUCUACAAAUUCUACAAUUCUACAAAAUGACAUUAUACAAUAUUAUCCAUAAUGAUACAAAACGACACAGUACAAAAAGACAUGAUACAAAUUAUACAAUAUGAUAAGAAACGGGAUACACAAUACAAUAUGACAGGCUAGAUAUGACACAAUACGAUAUGAUACAAAACGAUAUUUUACGAAACAACAUGUUACAAAAUGAUACAAUACGAAAUGAUAUACAAUAUAAAACAACGAUACAAUAAGAAACAAUAGGAUACGAUACGAAACGAUAUAAAACAAUACACACCAUAUCACACGAUACAAUUUGAUAGAAUAUUGGCUAAUCUCUGCUAUCAUGGAAUAUGAUGUUACAAAAACAACAUGACAACACAAUACCUUAUCACACCAUGUGACACAUCAUGAUAUUUAACAGUAGGAUAUGAUAUGAUACAACAUGACACAAUACAAUGCACUGUAACCUGAUAUGGCUCAAUUAUGGGAUAUGUUGCAACAGGAUACACUAUGAUUGGAUAUGAUAACAUGCACUAUCAUAAGACUGGAGAGGAUGUGGCGUUGCACAAUAUGAUGCAGUUUGAUAUCUUGUGCUGCACUGCGAUUUUUUUUGAUGUGAUAUAAAAUGACAGGAUAUGAUACUUGGAUUAACUUGGAUUUGGAUUCACUGAGGGGCAGCAAAUCUGGAAUAACUGUCUUGUUCAUAUGUAAGUUUUCACAGUUUGUUUCUGGAGAAACUUCCUGGAGGAAAAUGACUUCCCCUGUUUACCUGCACCACCAUUUCUGCAGCAUUCAGCAAAAUUCACAAUUUGCCUUUUCUCUGCUGAUGUUUACCUUCACCGUUUGAGUUUAAUUUAGUUUCAGACUCGGAUGUUUCUAAGUACAAAAACAAUCAAGGGAAAUGGGGCAGAGUUUGAAUGGUUACAAAUCCAUGGUGGUUCUAGCUCUCACUCUCUGGGACAUUACUUCUUUAGAAAACAAAACCAUUUAGGUACGACUCCAGAAACAAACUCGAUAGAGAAACACUCUCCACUGACGGACAGAGGGUGAAAACAGUAAAUAUAGUGGAGAAGUGCAGACAAACUUGUUUAAUAUUGCAGUGAGAGUGGAAACCAGGAGCUGGAUGUCUGUAUUUAGCUUGCAGGAACAUUUUCCAUGCUUGGUGUACUGAUUGAUUUGAAAGGGAGAGGAACGAAUAACUGCUCCGUCUCAAAGGUGAUCUGUCACUGGAGCAGCUCAUAUAAUAAUGUGUGAGAGCAUAAUGCACCGACACAGAGGGGUAGUGUUUUUAAAGAGAGUGAUCACCCUGUUUGUGCAUGUUUUCCCUUCCAGAGAGAAAGUAGACACUGAUUUAUUGUAUUGAUCCGGGGAAACAUAUUGAAAGUACAGCUUGGACACAGUGAACACCUCCGGCAUGAAUCUUAAAGAGGACUACAGUAUUCUCAGCACCACAACCACACUCUAGCCUUAAAUCUUACAUCUUCUUUUACUUCAGGAGUCUGUUUAAUGUGUUAGUUUUUAGACCAGCUGCUCACUUGACCUGAAACUGAGUUUAAUAACAAAGUUUCUGCUGAACUGUAAAAUGAAAUCUUCCAGGCAGUCCUCGCAUAAAAAUAGCUUGAGUCACUUUCCAUGGGAGGUUUUCACUUUCUAACCUCCUGACCAGUAAGAUUGAGCUGAUGUGGAAUUACAGAAAUCUGCACUUCUCUGAGUCCAUGUGAAUUCUGAUGGGAACCAGUAUAAGAAGUUCAGAAGUUCAGCCUCAGUUUGCACUUCAAUGAAGUUUAUUUCAUUUGUACUUUGUAAAAAAGUAUUUAAAAAAUAAUAAUUUUAAAACAGUAAUGUCUUCAAAUUUUGCUCUUGUCAAUUAUGGUGUUCCUCAGGGCUCAAAUCUAGGUCCUUUCUUUCUUUCUUUCUUUCUUUCUUUCUUUCUACGUUUUUAAUCUUUAUAAAAUAUAUACUAUUUACUUCUUAAACAGUAAUACCUUUAAAUUUAACUCUUGUGAAUUAUGGUGUUCCUCAGGGCUGAAAUCUAGGUCCUCUUUCUUUUCUUUUUUUAUACAUCUAUUCAUUUUUCCAUUCAUGUAUGUAUUUGUUUUGCACAGAAGAAAUAACAGGAAACACUACUGCUCAAUAACCAGAGACAGAAUAAAACAGACCUGAGAGUUAAAUUUGAGGUACUAUCUUUAAAUUUGAUGAAGCUGAAAUGUGCAGGAAGAGCCCAAAAGAAUAAAAUCAGUGACCCCCUUCUCCCCCAUUUUCUCCGAAACCCUUCCUACCAAUCAAACAGUCUACAAAUCCUCCAUUUCUGCUUAGCUGGCAUUAUAAAUUAGAUAUCAGACAUAUUAUUCGAGCUUUAGGACACCAUAGGACACAUAUAUGAGGUUGAACAUUUCUUUUUGGUCACACAUUUUAGGAGGAAACCCCCUUAGAAUAAUCCAGAAGUCGUUGGAAAAUCAUCCUAUUUGGCCGGGGAUCAUCUUGCGUGAGCAGCUGGAAAACUUUGUUGUUCACAAAAACAGGUCCUAGUUUUUCAAAUUUAUUCAUAGAUGGGAUGGACUUCCCGGUUUAUCCUGUUUACCUCCAAAAACCAAAUGUCGAGUUCGGGAAAAGCAAAUAAAGACGGCUUGUUUUGCCCCAGAAAAGAGACACCAUGUUCUUUUGGGGAAAUAAGCUCAGCUUUACAUUUGGUCUAAUCUGAUUGGAUGAAGUUCAGAAUUUAAAGGCUCUUACGGUCCGCUCCUCGCAGCUGGACACACAAAAACGAACAAACUGUCCUGUUGUGAAGUAAUCAGAUUUAUGUAUUGAAUAUUUAGCAUAACGGGGUCAGAUUGAGUCUUAAAUGUUCUCGUUCAUCUGAGUCUUCUGCUCGAGGAGACUGAAAAACUCCUACAAGGAUCCUCCAUCUGCUGCCACUUUCAAAACCAUCCAUCACUGAAGCUCUCGGCUGAAGCCCGGAGUCAGGCGCUCUGUGGACUCUGCUCAGAGCUGAUAGAUGCUUCUCCUGUUUGAUUUAUUGAACCUCUUUGUAUGUGAGUAAAAUGAAGCCUGUGUCAGAUUUGUUCUCAGUCCUAAAAGGAGCGACACCUCGGAGUAAAUUCAGGAGUUAGAAGAAGAGCGUCAGAGCUAUUCAUCAUUUUACAUCUCAUGAGCAGAAUCAGAAGAGCCUGACUCAGCCGGACUCCUGACCACGUCACAGACCUCUCUUCUAGAGAAAUAACGGUGCACCGUUUUGGUCAUCUAUUGACUAACACUCAUUCCUCCAAACUGUAACAGCUCAAGUCUAAAAGUUUUAACCAAGCAGGGAGAAUGUGAGGUUUGAAGGAUGUAGUUUCCUCCAGCAGGCCUCAGGUUUAUUAUCUCACAUACAGACUGUUAUCUCAAAAAAUCAAAUCUUGGAGAGGAGUUUUGUUUUUUAUUUUCUGGUCAAAAGUGUCUUCUCAGGCCUAAUCUAAGCUUCAUCUCACCUGAAAAAACCCAGAUUUGUUUUAAAGUAAGCCAAAAAUAAAACCAUAAAUCUGCCGGUGGAUUAGGAAACGAAAAUGUUAUAUCAAGAAACUGACAGUACUGUAUUAUCUUUAAACACGGCCCUCUUCUUGACUUGUUGGGUGAAUUUGGCUCAAAUUAAAGAUACUAUAGGGAUUUUGUUUUAUGUUUAUAAAACAAUCUGAAAUUCAUACUGAUUCAUUUUCAUGAUACCCAAAAACAAACUCAACCAUCAGGAGCAAGACUAACAAUGAGUAUGAUGUGAUUUUUAAUACCUGAAACUGGUGUACAGGGUUAGGUGUUGCCAAAGCGACCGUUUUUGCAAUAGAUGCAGAAAUAUUUCCAAUGAUGAUGAUCAAUUUGAAAUGAUCAAUUUGACUGUCAAGAGUCAGAAUGAUAAAGAGAUCAUGUAGAAGACAAGGGAAGCAAAGAGUGUUUUGUCCACAGGGGGGCACCAAAGUUGACACAGACAGAAAGUUCCUCACAGGAGCUUUAAUUCAGGCUUAUUAUCUCACAUACAGGCUGAUAUUUUUGAGGCCUUGUUUUCAAAUUCAAACAAACAAAAGAAGAAAAAACUUCAAUUAUAGGAUUUUUUGGUUUUAUUUUUAGUAAAGUAGGUUUGAUUUAAGCCGAAAAGUACACAAAAAAUUGCAAUAUUUCAAAAGGUUUUUAGAAAUAAGAGCCGAGUUUGUUGUAAUGAGUAAAACAAAUUCAGCCUUUGGAAGUAAGAGAUGUACUUUUAUGUAAUUUUUAUAAGGAAAUGCCAUAUUUCAUGAUCUUGACUGGAACUUUUUUUUUUGUUAUUGUGCACUUUGAUAUAUAUAAAUACAAAACAAAAGAAUAAUAAUAAUUUUCUAUUGCUUUAUGUCACUUCUAAACACUUGUGUGUUAAGCACACUUUGCUUUGAUAUAGAGUAAUACAAAACAAAACAGUAAUAACUUGAAAUUGGCACCUCUCAUGCAAAGAUGCAGCCAAACAUUCUUACAACUGAAAAAAACAAACAAUAAUAAUUAAAACUAAAUUUUAAAAGUUUGAAACAAACAGAUGAAGAGCAGCUGUGGAUUAAAAAUAAUAAUAUUAACCAUAAAAAAACCAUCAGGAAAUCAUCAAAAGUGUCUGAAAGUGUCCCUGCGUCACCUUUUUAUAGAUUACAUAAACGCAGAAUCUCGUUUAGAGAAGAGCCGACAUCAGUUACAGUUUGGAGGACGCCUCUUUGACCUCGGCGAGUAAACAGACAGUCUGGGUCUGGAAUAAAAAAGACAACGCAGUCUAAUCUGCUGGAAUCAAAACAAGCCUUUAAAACCUCUUCCCUGUCUGCUGCACUAAUCUCUGAACUGGUCAUUGAAGAGUGCACAUAGUUCAGAGCGGGAUUUAAACCGUCUCUGUGUACAGCGGCACGGUGGACGAGCAUGGACAGUGCUUUGGAGCGCUUAAACACAAUUCAUCCUCACAGAGGACGGCAUUAGAGUUAUGUAAUCUGUCCCCAGGGGAGUCAUAUGGAUCAGGGAUGCAUAUAGAAAAUGGGAUCCUGUAGCCGUGAUGUAAGAUUACUUCAGAACCUCCAUCAAGCCAAGAAGCUCGCACCCCGUGACGGCCUGAGUCAGCAGGUCGAUCACAUGACAGCAGCAGAGGAUCCUGGGAGAUGAGUGUUUUGCGGUAUGCGCCAAAAUAGGAAACAGAUGUGGCCUCGCAGAGGGAAGAGGAAGAAAGAAGAAAAGAGGAAUUUACGGUCACACCAGUUCUCCGCUUACUCUCCAGUUCUCCCAGUAAAGAGGGAAAAUCAAUCCCAACAUUAAGAUAAUGGCCGCGCUCUCUGGAGCCGCUGGAUUAUUGAAAUACGCUCGCCACAUCAGUUUAUGUGGAGGUAUUAAUAGAUUUUUUUACACUGCUGUUAAAAAUAGUGCCAUCGAUCGGUGGAAACCGCCUUACUGAGCAACAUUGGAUUAUAAAUCUAUCCCCCCCUUUCAUCAAGCCCACACACACAUACAUUUACACACAGGUCAUGACCUCCUGCCUGUUCACCGGCGCUGAGAGGAGGGGGGUGGGCGCUGCGUGAUGGAUCAAUCAAGACACCGCUGUCCAGGAGUCUCAUUAUCUAAAGUGGCCGCGGAGGAACCGAGAGGAAGAGCCUUAAAGGGGCUUAAAGUGCACUCGGGUGCCUGCUGAGAUCCAGCGGGGAGACUCUCCAGGACGGAGAAGAGAAACAGCCAUCGAUCAGAUAGAUAGUGAGCUGUCAGUGAUGAGAGGUUGAGCCUGUGCUUCAUUUAACACACCAGAGAUCAUAACACACACAGCAGCAGAGAUUGGUGGUGACCUUGAGGGCCACAGGAGCCGCCAGAGACAGAGAGAUGGAGUCCUCGUCAGCUGGUGUUGUUGUUGUUCGGGGCGAUAUCAUACUCACUUCAUCUUCUUUUUCUUUUUCUUUUUAUAAAGCAGAUAGGAUCCAGCCUUAAGUCGUCAAUAUAAGGUGCUUUAACAUCACUAUGGCAACUGAAGCAUGGUGAAAUAUCAUCGAUGGCAUCACUACCGAUGGCGUCCGUGCCGAAACUGUGCAUGUUCGAAAUGUACGUCACUUCCUCUCCUCGUAUUUCAAUGCAUUUUAUAGCGGUUAGUCGUUACUAUUGCUACCUACCCGAUCCGUACCGUGCAAGUGCAAAUUUACGUCACCUUAAAAACUUUAUUUAAACUACUGAUAGAUUUCAGAAACCAGCUGGUGACAGGCUGGCUAAGAGGAGGCUCCACGGAUGAUGCCGAGUCAUUAAUUUCGACUAUAAUGUUGAAAUUUCGACUGUAAUUUCCCUCCUAUAAUUAUUUUUUUCUCUUCAUGUGGCACUAAUCCUCUUUCAUUGGACCGUCUAAAUGAAGCCCAAUUUUCAAAGAUUUUUUUUUUUGCUAAAAUUACAGCCAUGACGGGCCGACAUGAUUCAGCCUAAAAAAAGACGUCUAAAUGACGUCGGGUGUUUGGUGGGAGGUACUCCUCCAAGACAGUUUGCAUUAAUGCAGUAGUAUCGAGACCAAACCAAGUCCAAAGUGAUCACUCACAUUAGCGACUUUUGGUUUACGUACUUGGAUGCAGAGGCGUCCACAUGUUUGGAAAUAGUUGUUUUUAUUUGUCAGUUUGACAUUAGAGUCACUUCUAUGGUGUGCCCCAAGGUUCAAUCUUAGGACCUUUUUUAUUCUCCAUCUAGAUUAUAAUCUGUUACACUUUAGUUUAACCUUUAUGCUGAUGAUACCUUCAUUUAUCUACAGUUAGAAAGGCUUUUGUAUCUUUAUAAUCUUUACAGCUUGUUAAAAACCAUAAAUAUUUGGCGUUUCGUAUCGGGGGUAGUGGGUUUUAAGAGUCCUCUGCCGUCACGUGUUCCUCCAAUCCCAAACCUGCUGAACCCUCUCCAUUCAGAGCCUCAUUGUCCAUUAAGACCUCAUUUCAGGUCUGAGUAACCUCCUGCUGAGCUACAUGGGACCUUCUUAUAUUUAGGUUAGUGACUAUAAGUCUGCUGUAUGAGUGCUGGAGUCACACGACACGUUCAUAUAUAUACACACAGACAUGACUCAUUCGGCUGUUGACUAACGGAUGAGGAAGUAUCGUCAAACCAGACAACGCUGCAGAGAAAAUAAACAUGAUAAAGAUCUAUUUCUGAGCUGCUGUGGGAAACUGAAGUUAGAGUGAUCAGGUCUGAUAGAUUAAACUUAGUUACAAUUACUGUGAUAAACCUUCAUUUUUCAAACUAACAUUUCUGUCUAUGAUUUUUCCUCAAGUUUAAAAAGGAGCUGUUUUCAUUCCUGCAUAGAAUAUAACAAUAUGCUUAUUUUAAUCACAAUAUCAAUAUUUUAUUCAUUUUAAAAGGCAGUUAUCAGUACAUCACAGCAGCUUCAACUCAGAUUGUGACAUAUAGCAGGGAUAUCCUUGCCAUUUAUGGAUUUUUUUUAUGCUUUUAGUCCAAAAAAGUCCCUCUACACUAAAGGUUUUUACUUAUUUAAGUGAUUUUUUGACUGAAGUCAAAGUUUAUCCAUAUUAACAUUAAAACAGCUGCAGUGCAUGGUUCUGUUUUGGCUAACAGGGGUUUGAUUCUGACCGAUGUCCUUCAAACUAAAAAAGCUGACACUCAACGGCCACUUUAUUAGGUACACCUGUUCAAUUGCUUGUUGACACAAAUAGCCAGUCAGCUAACCACCCACGGCUGCAGCCCAGUGCGUUUAGACACAUGGUCAAGGUGACUAGCUUAAGUUCAAACUGAGCAUCAUAAUGAGAGAAAAAGAGGAUUUAAGAGACUUUGAAAGAAGAACAUUUGGUUUCAGACGGGCGGGUCAGAGUCUGUCAGAAACUGACGCGUUAACAGAUGAUGGUCUGAAGAGGAGACCUCCACCUGCAUCAUCCUCUCAUGUUCUUAUGGUCAAAAAUCUCUGAGGGAUGUUUCUAACACCUCAGAGGGUCUAACCCAGGACUAGCAGGGUGUACCUAAUAAAGUGGCCGGGGAGUGAAUCACUUGUUUUCACUCAUUUUUUUUGGUCUGCUGGAAGAUAAACUCUUUUUCAUUCAGCUGCUGCCGCCUGUUUAUCAGCUUUAAAACUGAAUCGUCUGUUUGUUCAGAGUUUUUCACAUUCACUGCUGUCGGCUUCGAUAACAAGUUUUCAGACGGACUGUUCGCUUUGGGCUUUAGAGGAAAAACAUAAACAUGAGGACUUUAGCGCCCUGUGUUCCUGAUUUAUGGAGUUAAAGGUUAGGGAAAGAUUUUGGUUUAUAUUGGAGCAAACCUGAAGUGGAUAAGAAAGCUGUGUAAACUCUCUGAAUAUCAAACUUUUCUUUUACUUUAGCGGGACGUUUUUUUAGAGUUCAGACUCAAACAGAUAGAUAAACAUAUAUACUGAAAGCAGCAGUGUUGAAGAUGGUUGGUGUUGUUUUAAUGAUGAAAUAUGACUGAAAACAUCCUCCACUGCUGAGCCGGCUGAAAUCACAUGACUGGACUUGUUUUUAACUUUGUACUGACUUUGCAGGAAUGCUUCAGUUAUUCAACAGCGGAGCUCAUGUGUGAGUUAAUGACUGAUUAUAGUGAUACCUGAUAAAACAUUGACACUAAAGCUGUAGAUGUCUUUUUAAUCAAACAUAAAAACAGCCUCUGUUUCCUGAGUCAGGGCCUCGGUGUGCAGCAGGGCGCUGAGUCAAGCUCUGUAACCUGACACCUGACAUCAUCUGGUUUUUGGAUCCUUCCUCGUUGAAUGAAACCAGAUGUAAUUCCCCAGCCUGGAAAAAAAAAGAAACUCCUCCCCAAAAACCCUGAACUCC